AUGAACGCUAGCGGCAGGCCUAACACAUGCAAGUCGAGGGGCAGCACGGUGUAGCAAUACACUGGUGGCGACCGGCGCACGGGUGCGUAACGCGUAUGCAACCUACCCAUAACAGGGGGAUAACACUGAGAAAUUGGUACUAAUACCCCAUAACAUCAGGACCGGCAUCGGUUCUGGUUGAAAACUCCGGUGGUUAUGGAUGGGCAUGCGUUGUAUUAGCUGGUUGGUGAGGUAACGGCUCACCAAGGCAACGAUACAUAGGGGGACUGAGAGGUUAACCCCCCACAUUGGUACUGAGACACGGACCAAACUCCUACGGGAGGCAGCAGUGAGGAAUAUUGGUCAAUGGACGCAAGUCUGAACCAGCCAUGCCGCGUGCAGGAAGACGGCUCUAUGAGUUGUAAACUGCUUUUGUACGAGGGUAAACGCUCUUACGUGUAAGAGCCUGAAAGUAUCGUACGAAUAAGGAUCGGCUAACUCCGUGCCAGCAGCCGCGGUAAUACGGAGGAUCCAAGCGUUAUCCGGAUUUAUUGGGUUUAAAGGGUGCGUAGGCGGUUUGAUAAGUUAGAGGUGAAAUACCGGUGCUUAACACCGGAACUGCCUCUAAUACUGUUGGACUAGAGAGUAGUUGCGGUAGGCGGAAUGUAUGGUGUAGCGGUGAAAUGCUUAGAGAUCAUACAGAACACCGAUUGCGAAGGCAGCUUACCAAACUAUAUCUGACGUUGAGGCACGAAAGCGUGGGGAGCAAACAGGAUUAGAUACCCUGGUAGUCCACGCAGUAAACGAUGAUAACUCGCUGUCGGCGAUACACGGUCGGCGGCUAAGCGAAAGCGAUAAGUUAUCCACCUGGGGAGUACGUUCGCAAGAAUGAAACUCAAAGGAAUUGACGGGGGCCCGCACAAGCGGAGGAACAUGUGGUUUAAUUCGAUGAUACGCGAGGAACCUUACCCGGGCUCAAACGCAGGGGGAAUAUAUAUGAAAGUAUAUAGCUAGCAAUAGUCACCUGCGAGGUGCUGCAUGGUUGUCGUCAGCUCGUGCCGUGAGGUGUCGGCUUAAGUGCCAUAACGAGCGCAACCCCUACCGUUAGUUGCCAUCAGGUCAAGCUGGGCACUCUGGCGGGACUGCCGGUGUAAGCCGAGAGGAAGGUGGGGAUGACGUCAAAUCAGCACGGCCCUUACGUCCGGGGCUACACACGUGUUACAAUGGUAGGUACAGAGGGCAGCUACCCAGUGAUGGGAUGCGAAUCUCGAAAGCCUAUCUCAGUUCGGAUCGGAGGCUGAAACCCGCCUCCGUGAAGUUGGAUUCGCUAGUAAUCGCGCAUCAGCCAUGGCGCGGUGAAUACGUUCCCGGGCCUUGUACACACCGCCCGUCACACCAUGAGAGUUGGGGAUACCCGAAGCCUGUGAGCCAACAGUUAAAUGAGGCAGCAGUCGAAGGUAGAAUCAAUGAUUGGGGUG
rnacentral:rRNA from 1 species